UACAGAGGGGGCAAGCGUUAUUCGGAAUUAUUGGGCGUAAAGGGCGCGUAGGCGGCCUGGCAAGUGGAAGGUGAAAUCCCUCGGCUUAACCGAGGAACUGCCUCCCAAACUGCUUGGCUUGAGACCGGGAGAGGUGAGUGGAAUUCCCAGUGUAGCGGUGAAAUGCGUAGAUAUUGGGAGGAACACCAGUGGCGAAGGCGGCUCACUGGACCGGUACUGACGCUGAGGCACGAAGGCCAGGGGAGCAAACGGG
rnacentral:rRNA from 1 species